UACGAAGGGGGCUAGCGUUGCUCGGAAUCACUGGGCGUAAAGCGCACGUAGGUGGGUCGUUAAGUCAGGGGUGAAAUCCCGGAGCUCAACUCCGGAACUGCCUUUGAUACUGGCGACCUUCGAGUCCGGGAGAGGUGAGUGGAAUUGCGAGUGUAGAGGUGAAAUUCGUAGAUAUUCGCAAGAACACCAGUGGCGAAGGCGACUCUCUGGUCCAUAACUGACGCUGAGUGUGCGAAAGCUAGGGGAGCAA
rnacentral:rRNA from 1 species